rnacentral:rRNA from 1 species
AGAACGAACGCUGGCGGCAGGCUUAACACAUGCAAGUCGAACGCUGUAGCAAUACAGAGUGGCAGACGGGUGAGUAACACGUGGGAACAUACCCUUCGGUUCGGAAUAACUUGGGGAAACUUAAGCUAAUACCGAAUACGGCCUAUGGGCGAAAGAUUCAUCGCCGAAGGAUUGGCCCGCGUCCGAUUAGCUAGUUGGUGUUGGUAAUGGCUCACCAAGGCGACGAUCGGGUAGCUGGUCUGAGAGGAUGACCAGCCACAUUGGGACUGAGACACGGCCCAAACUCCUACGGGAGGCAGCAGUGGGGAAUAUUGGACAAUGGGCGCAAGCCUGAUCCAGCCAUGCCGCGUGAGUGAUGAAGGCCUUAGGGUUGUAAAGCUCUUUCGCACGCGACGAUAAUGACGGUAGCGGUGAGAAGAAGCCCCGGCUAACUCGCGCCAGCAGCCGC